UGAUCUUUCAUUUUGAACUCCCGGAAAAAGGGGACGGUUGGAGACCGCGGCUGAAACCUCGCCCGGUGCGCCGGCUCAGCCCGGAGACCGUGCUAUCUUGAGUGGCUGUUACCGGCAUCCAGAGAUCGGCUACUAACCUGGAAACAAGGGAUCUCUGAAAGGGCGAGGGCUACGCCCUCCAUCUUGCCCCGAAUCCUCCAUUUUGGGGCAGAGCCCUGUGCUCAGCAAGGCUUCUUCCCGGAAGCCCAAGCCUCUGCUAGCCACACCCACGACUUCUCUAAACUAACCAAUGACAAUCGUGGGAAGUGCACGCCAUAGAUAUGACCACAUCCUGUGUAAUGAGACACCGACUUGCGCCUGGCCAAUCGGCAAGGCCCACAGUCCCCUCUGCUCCCCUUACUCCACUCCCCCUAUAAAACUCUUCCGCACCGGGCUAGCCCUCUCUCUGCCACCUGCUGCUGUGUCAGUAAGGAGGGUAGGGGAGCCAGCCCCGGGUUUGUAAUAAUAAAGACUCUCUGCUUUUGCAUCGGCCUCGGCUGGAUCCUGAAAUCUGGGCAUAACAAUCUCAAGCAGCGCGACUGACUGCGUGAACUCAGAGGAGCACUGCUUCUUCUCACGGAAAGCCCAGCGAUGAACGGCUCAAAUUCUGGAAACAUUGGAACCCUCAGCACUAUGCCAGCAGCAGCACCUACUUCCAGCACUGGCGUUCGGGAAGGCUGGCAUGAACAUGUCACCCAGGACAUGCGGAGCCACCUAGUGCAUGAACUUGUCCAAGCCAUCUUCCCAAUACCUGACCCUGCAGCCCUGGAGGAUCCCCGCAUGGAGAACCUAGUGGCCUACGCUAAGAAAGUAGAAGGGGACAUGUAUGAGUCUGCCAACAGCCGGGAUGAAUACUAUAGCUUAUUAGAAGAGAAAAUCUAUAAGAUAAAAAAAGAACUAGAAGAAAAUCGGAGGUUGCGUUUUGGCAUCUUGGGUAACCAGCCAGCCUUACCAGCUGCCGGGGCAUAGCCUCCUGGGAUACCACGGUCACAACCUGUGAGACCUCCAGGGACAGGUGUCUGGUGCUGCUCUUCCUAACCUUCCGAACAUGCUUGGGUCCCAGCUGCCUUGUCCACCAGAGACACAAUCACCUCUGCACCAGACACCGCCUCCUGCUUCCACAGCCGCUGCCUGCCACCUCUACAGCAUCCAACAGCACCUGUGAUGACUCCUCCCCCGCCUGCAGCUCCCCCUCAGCCACCGACUCCUGUGUCGUCUUCCGGGCAGACUCCUACCCCAACUCCUGGCUCCGUAUCUUAGUUCUUGUAAAUAAUUCUGCAGGGAGCAUACAGGGGCAUAUACUUUUUCAAAUUAGUGUUUAUAAUUUCUUCAAAUAAAUACCCAGAAGUGGAAUGGCUGGA